GAUGAACGCUAGCGACAGGCCUAACACAUGCAAGUCGAGGGGCAGCAUAAAGGUAGCAAUACUUUGGUGGCGACCGGCGCACGGGUGAGUAACACGUAUGCAACCUACCUGUAAGAGGGGAAUAACCCGUUGAAAGACGGACUAAUACCGCAUAAUACUUGAUUACUGCAUGGUAAACGAGUUAAACAUUUAUGGCUUACAGAUGGGCAUGCGCAUGAUUAGCUAGUUGGAGAGGUAACGGCUCCCCAAGGCAACGAUCAUUAGGGGUUCUGAGAGGAAGGUCCCCCACACUGGUACUGAGACACGGACCAGACUCCUACGGGAGGCAGCAGUGAGGAAUAUUGGUCAAUGGGCGCGAGCCUGAACCAGCCAAGUCGCGUGCAGGAAGAAUGUCCUAUGGAUUGUAAACUGCUUUUGCAGGGGAAUAAAGUUCGGCACGUGUGCCGUUUUGUAUGUACUCUGCGAAUAAGGAUCGGCUAACUCCGUGCCAGCAGCCGCGGUAAUACGGAGGAUCCGAGCGUUAUCCGGAUUUAUUGGGUUUAAAGGGUGCGUAGGCGGGAUAAUAAGUCAGUGGUGAAAGUUUGCAGCUUAACUGUAAAAUUGCCGUUGAAACUGUUAUUCUUGAGAGUAGAUAAGGUAGGCGGAAUGUGUUGUGUAGCGGUGAAAUGCAUAGAUAUAACACAGAACCCCGAUUGCGAAGGCAGCUUACCGGGCUACAUCUGACGCUGAAGCACGAAAGCGUGGGGAUCAAACAGGAUUAGAUACCCUGGUAGUCCACGCAGNUAACGAUGAAUACUAGCUGUAUGCGAU
rnacentral:rRNA from 1 species